rnacentral:rRNA from 1 species
UACGUAGGGGGCUAGCGUUGUCCGGAUUUAUUGGGCGUAAAGAGCGUGUAGGCGGCCAAGUAAGUCCGGUGUGAAAACUCGAGGCUUAACCUCGAGAUGUCAUCGGAAACUAUUUGGCUAGAGUCCGGAAGAGGAGAAUGGAAUUCCUGGUGUAGCGGUGAAAUGCGCAGAUAUCAGGAAGAACACCCGUGGCUAAGGCGGUUCUCUAGUACGGUACUGACGCUGAGACGCGAAAGCGUGGGGAGCGAACAGG